rnacentral:rRNA from 1 species
CGCGCAGGCGGCUGCUCAAGUCAGGCGUGAAAGGCCUGGGCUCAACCCGGGAAUUGCGCUUGAGACUGGGCUGGCUUGAGUGCGGGAGAGGAUGGUGGAAUUCCCAGUGUAGAGGUGAAAUUCGUAGAUAUUGGGAAGAACACCGGUGGCGAAGGCGGCCAUCUGGACCGCAACUGACGCUGAGGCGCGAAGCGUGGGAGCAAACA